GUCCUCGUGGAGCACUGCAGCUCGCCCCGUUCUUGUGAGAAAUAAAUGUCCAAGAGACCGCUACCGGGGAGGCGGCGGUUCGACUCCGCCCGAGGACA